AGCGCGGCUUCCUCUAUUUUGCUGAGCUGGUAGACAAGUUUCCUUCACACUAGUUUUAUGAGAAACCAGCAGCAUAAACAAACUAGCAUUCGCACUAAAAGCUAGUUAUCUAAGGAGCUCGCUUACUGAAAAGGGAAACCCGAUAUUUCGCUUGUGUACAGACACUCUCAAUAUAAGGUGAGUAACGUUACCGCGGUUAAUGUUUACGCUGCCUGGACAUGGACGAGCCGGACACCGCCGCGAUUCUUCCCGGGGACGUGCUCAACUCCACGGACGAGGAACCAGACGACUCUGGUGGCCCAAAACAGGAGGCCGAAGUACCAAGCACCGCCUACGUACGACCACCUUUUAGCGUUACAUGCCUGGUGUCUGUGGAGCCGGUGCUUUUCCUCUCCAUGUUUUCGCUGGCCCUGCAGGCGCCUCUGUCCACACAGUACCUUUGGGACCGCAUCAGUGAGGACCUCGGCUAUAACGGCUCCAAGAGGUCGGGGUGCAGCAACAGCUCCGUACCCCCCAACCCGCUGCAAACGGAGGUGGAAACCUUAACUGCCCACUGGAACCUGUACAUCAGUCUUGGGGGAUUUUCUGUAGGCCUCUUUGUGGUUCCUCUGCUCGGCUCAUGGAGUGACCUCGCUGGUCGAAGAUCCGUCCUUAUCCUCCCCAACCUUGGCCUGGCUGUCCAAGCCGUGGUUUACCUGGUGGUGAUGUACCUGAAGCUGCCUGUUGGCUACUUUCUAGUUGGCAGGCUGCUUAGUGGUCUUUCGGGGGAUUUCAACGCCAUCCUGGCAGGCUGCUUUGCAUAUGUGGCUGAUACCAGCGACCGAAAGUCCCGCACCAUCAGGGUGGCAGUCUUGGAGGCUUGUCUGGGACUUUCAGGGAUGCUAGCCAGCAUCAUUGGAGGGCAGUGGAGGCGGGCACAAGGGUACAUCAACCCCUUCUGGCUGGUCCUGGCCACCAACUUGGCUUCGGCUCUGUAUGCUUACCUGUUCGUCCGUGAGUCGGUCCUGCCAGACCCCAGUGCCAAGCUCCUCACCUCCCGCCACUAUAGAGCUGUCUGGCACCUCUUCUCAACAGGAGGCAGUACCAGUGAGGCAGGCGGGAAAUUUCACAGAUGCAAGCUAUGGCUUUACAUGCUGUGUUUCUUUCUGGUGGUGACUAUACACUUCGGCAGCAGGGAGUUGUACGUGUUGUUUGAGCUGAGCUCCCCGCUCUGCUGGGGGUCAGCCCUCAUUGGCUACGGAUCAGCAGCUCAGCACCUGGCCUACCUCAGCAGUCUUCUGGGGCUGAAGAUCAUGCAGCGCUGCCUGGAAGACUCCUGGGUAGCUAUCGUGGGUCUGGCUUCCAACAUCGUCGGGCUGGUGGUGUUCUCUAUAGCUGACACCACACAGCUCAUGUUCACAGGUUACGGUCUGUGUUUCCUCUUCAUGGCUACGACGCCAGUGCUCAGGUCAAAGCUGUCCAAGUUGGUCGGCCCAUCAGAACAAGGCGCCCUGUUUGCCUCUGUUGCCUGUGUGGAGAGCUUAUGUUACCUAGUCGGCAGUGGCCUCUUCAACUCCUUGUACCCAGCCACCCUGCACUUCAUGAAGGGCUUCCCCUUCCUCUUUGCUGCCAUCAUCCUUUUCAUCCCCGCUGGAUUAAUCGGGACCCUGCAAUGUUUGGACCAGAGGAGAGACCACAGAGACUCCACAGCAUCCUGACCUGAAGAGAAGCAGUGGGCAGGGAAUUCUCAGAGUGCUAAAGCUUGUCCUGGUGUCAGUCUAUGAGAAAUCGUAGGAUCUUCUCAAUUGUGGCUUCCUGAUAUUCGUGGGACCAUCUGUGUCAAAAAAAAAGGUAACAGGCAAUUAAAACCUUGAGAAGAUUUAAGACGUGCAUGUAAAGCAAGUAAAUUCUCUAAUUAAUGUUUUACAGAGGGAAACGUGAACAACAACAACAACAACAAAAACAGUAAAAGCCUUUUAUUCAUGAAAUAUGUAUUAAUCAUGGCAUUGAACUAUGUCGUUUCACACAGCAACAAAUAGCAUAUAAUAAAUUAGCUGUUAAACCUGUUGAAAAGGCAUGUCCCCUCCUUAUUAGUAAAGUAUUAAAAUAAACUAUCCAUGAGUGAAUGCUGUCGCAAUUACACAGAUGUGCUUACCAACAACAUUUUCUGCUGUAAAAUGUUGGUUUGAUUACGUUUUAAGAGCAAGCAGUUACUCACUUGAUGCCGUUGAAAUUGAGAAUUGAUCUCAUGUCCAAGGGCAGAGACAUGGGGUCAGGCCACAUAAAAUUAUCCGUGACAGGAACUAUGUUCUUCUUCCCAGCCAGGGCGGUGACUAUCUCCUGCAAGAUUAAUGAGAAUUCCUUUGAGUCUAUAAAACACUAAAUAGUCAGACAUGUACAAACACAGAUGUAAACAGGGAAGGGGGCAGGGAGUAUGAAUGAUACAGUACAGAAAAUUAAAAACUUCCAACCUUGUGCACCCAAUCCUUCAUGUCAGCGUCACCCAUGCACUUGUCGAGUGCAUUGGAGGACAGGACCAGAAUGAAGUUACGCGCCCGCUGUACGCUCUGGAUCAGUUUGUCUUCAAAUUUUCCGGCCUCCAGCUUCUCCACAUCUAUAAAGACGCUGUAUCCUCGGACCUGCAGGUGCACCUUCAGAAGACUUGGGACAAAAAUGAGAAAGUCAAUUUUGUGCAAGUACCUUCUGUCCUCGCUCUGAGUCUAAUCUAACAAGAGCUGCAACAAUUACAUGACUAACUGAUAAGUUAAACGUCAGAAAAACAAUCCCCAUCUAUUUUUGAUAGUUGUCUUAUGUUUUAAGAACUCUUUCAUGCAUAAUGUUUUGAGUUUGAUUUUUGACCUAGCCAGCUGGGAGCCAGUAGUCCGUCGGUAGCUGAUGAAGACAUCGGGCCCUGCAGGCUGAGCAUCAGUUUGACACGGUUUUAAGGGCUUGCUGUUAGCUGAGAGAAUCUUGGCUCUGUGGACGCUGUUGUCUAUGUGGCAGUCGAGUUGGAGCUGCUGAUCCGUCAGGCUCUUGAAGUUAUUGCGAUCCACUCCCGACUGGACCAGUCCGUAAGUGUACUGCCGGAAACGAGGGUCAACCUCAACUAACCAGUCAGCCAUGUUGUUUGGGUCACAUGUGGAGUAGUUGGCAUAAGUCUUCAACACACGCAGGUCUCUCAAAAACCUGCAGGAUGAGACAGAACAGCUGUCAGACUGGUGUUACAUGGCUCAUGUGUUGAAGGGUUUGUACCACUUGCCUUUUGCGAGUGAGGCCUGCAGUCAUGCCAAGAUCAUUACACAGCUCCUGGUCUGUGAUGUUCAGCAGGAGGUCUCCAUCCACUUGGAGCUCCUGUACAGCAAACAUGUUUGAAAUGUCAUAAAUAGUGUAUAAUACAUCAAUCUCAAUGUCUAUAUUAUCUCUCUGUUGUGUAAUAAAACAUACCUGGAAUUUGUCACAGUAGGCACUAAAGCCAACCUGCUGCAGCCAGGUCUGCACUUCACACGUUUUCCAGUUGGGCACACAUGACAGGAUGCGUCUUGGCACUUCCUCCCCCAUCACGCCCAGUGCCCGCUUGGCGAGGCCACAGGCUGUACCAUUACUGGAGUACAUGACGAUUUUCUUUAGGCUCUGCACUGCUCCAAUCUCUUGAAAUAUCUUGAGAGAAGCACAUGUAAAACUCAGUCACAAUAAAGCUACCAGACAAUUUUAGAUACAAUUUUGAGCUACAUGUGGACAGUGAUGGUACCUUAGUGUUGCGCUGACGAGACUUGAUGCUGGCCUCCACACAAAGGUAAAAGGCUGCAAUGCACUUUCCUUCCAGUCUUGUGCCAUCCAGUAAUGGCAAAAGAUGCUGCAGGUCAGCUGCCGUCCGGCCCUGCAUGUUGUCUGAACUGUCCAACAAACUUCGGGCAAAGUCGUCCGGAUCUAAAGAUGCAAUAAAUGGCUCCACCAGCUCCAGGGUUCCAGAUUUCACCACCUCUGUCUCAAUUUCUCGGUUUGCAGCUAACACAGUCACAGCCAGACAUGCAUGGAAGCGAAUGAUUUCAUCCUCUUUGGAAAAAGCCAGAGGGAAAAGCCACUCGGCUGCCUGCUUCUCAAUCAUCCAUCUCUGGCAGCGGUGGCCUCCGUACAUGGCACAGUUUGCUAGUGCCACAGCACAGUGGCGCAACACAGUGGGAUCUGUGCUGCGGCACCAGAAUAGGAGGGCAUCCAGGGCCCCGUUAGAAAUUAGGUGGACAGACGUCUCUUCAGUGUGUUUGAACAUGUGCUCCAGGAUCCCCGAGACACUGCGAGCCAGCUGUGCAUCUUCCUGAUGUCGAGUGAGGUUGAGGACAACCCCCAGACCCAUACGUGCUACAUAAUCCCUGUCAGCAGAAGUUUAAAAUAAUGAUAACAAAAGUUGAUUCAGUCAACCAGACAUCAAGGCGUUCUGCUUUUUAAGAAAAAUAAAUGGAUUCUCCUGAACAAACAGAUGUAUGCUUUUCAAAUGUGAGGAUGGGCUACUAUUGUUUUUAAUAUCAUGCUAACUGUGACCUCUAUGACUGUUUUUUUUUUUUACCCUAGAAUCAACAUAGAUCUAAAAAUAGUAGACAAAACCCUAACACUGCCUUUAAAAUGUACAAGACAAAAAAAACAGCUUGGUAUAGUGUUAAACUUUGGUUGUAUAAAGUUAUGUACUGGCUGAAUCAGUUGGCAGAAACACAGCCUACUAUUUUAUUGCAUUGCAGGAUUGUAAUUAUUGUGUUAUGUUGUCAAUCGCUGUACAACAACAGAGUGUAUAUGGUCCAAUUAAGUAUUACAAAUAUAACAACAUAAAAACACAAACCUCAUCACACAAUAAACAUUAAAUCCGUCAGAAAGUAAGUAUUACUGAUUUGUAUUUUGCAGAGCUGCUGUUUUAUACUGUGAAGGUGUAAGAGUAGCCUACCUGUUCUCUGAGAUCAGUAUCUGCUCCAGCAGUUUUGCAGAUUCAUAGGUGAUCUCCAAAGCAGGAGUCUGCUGAAGCUGCAGCAGCAGCUCCAGGCCUCCAUCCAGCCGGAUCCUGUUGCAGAUCUCCUCGGCCACCUGACGCCCUACAGCGGGCAAAACCCAGGCCUCCUCCACCAGCUGGAAGAGCUCUGCGAUGGCACUUCGUGUCUCGUCUGAAUCCGAGGUCUCGUGCGAUGACUUGAGCCUCCUGAUGGCGCAGCGUAGGGCGGGGAGGGUGCCGUCCAGAACUGCCUGAACAUCGGCUCUGACGCCCGGAGACACUGCUUUAGGGUCGGAUCCGGAGCCGCCCCUCCCUCUCUGCAGCCGGCUGACAUAUUCCGGGACUGUGAGUCUGUCUGAGCUGAACAUGAUGGAGAAAUGUCGGUACAGCCUCCACAGGAAGAGCGUCAGAGACAAGAGCAUCUACCAGCAGACACAAGCCAAUGUCCGUAGAGGAUGAAGUGUUUUACAAAGGCCUCGGAGAGAGAUCUGAUGCCUCACAGAGAUGCGUCAACCAAGGCCUCAGAUGCAGGCUAAAUCAAAAGUGACAGCUUUCACCAAUUUGCAUCCCCUCUCUCUUGUCGAUGUCACCCCUGGCAGUAAUCUGUAAACAUUGAUAAGCAGAUCUUGAGCAGGUCACAAUAAGCCUGCGCAUAGUAUCCGGCUGCUGCUUUGUCUCUUUUAUCCACACCGACCAGAAAACGACUUAAUGCAUUGACAGAAUUUAAGUGUCCUUAAAGAGGCAACUCCUCUGCACCUCACACUGAAACAGUGGAGAGCCAAUCUUCUUUGUUUCCCCGGAGAAGAAAAACAGACUAUUGUUGUUUGUGUUUGCAGACAAAGAAGACCUGUUCAGUUUUUCCUCCCACCUUAUCUAACGCACUGUUUCCCUGCAGAAAUACAAAGUAUAUUCACACUGCACCUAUCGCAUCCUCUGAUCAGCAUCCAUAGGCUAUCUGUAUCUUCAGGGGUCUGCACCGCCCACCGGCUCCGGAUACUUCCCGGGAUGAACAGUAAAACAAGCACCCCCUCCUCUUCGUCCCUGCAUCACAGCGGGUCAGAGCUCUGUAUGCUCAGGGAUGUACACACUGCAGGCCCCCUGCUGGAGGAAGAGGAGAAUAACCUCUGAGCCAAACAUCAACGCCUCCUAAAAAAUGCUUUGCAACAUUUCCGAGAAGAAAAUUAGGUCAUACAAAGUGUAUUAAGGGGGGUUUAAUCAGUGCCAUAACGAGCACUGGUACAGUUAAAUACAUUUAUAGGAAAACCAAAAAAUAAUAUACUUAUAAGAUAAAACUGCCGUACCACCAACACAAUAAAUAGAAUUUUCUCAAUCAAUAAAUCAAUGCAAACUGUACCCAUUGAGUUUGGCCUUGUGAAAAGUAAAUGUCCCAUUAUUAACUUGUUAGAUGGGAAAUUGUGAAAAUGUAGGUGGAUGCAGAUUUUAAUUCAUUAUUUGUAAUGCCGCACGAGUAAUCAAUAAAAAAAAAGAUGCAUGUUUAGCCCAGUUUGAAUAUUAAGAAUAACUUGUUUAAAAGUAAGUACAAGAGGAAAAAGAUGACUAAAUAAAUUGGAAGCAUGGAGAAAAAUCCCAUGGUUGCGUGAGACAAAAUUGAAACCAGACAAAGGACUGUGAUACGUGAUUGAAAUCAUGAAGAUACCACGUGGAAGGAAGUUAGCUGAAAAACAAACCUUUAAUGGAUUAAUUAUGUCCCCACACAAAUUUCCGUUAAUUGUAACACCCCAUUUAGACCGUAACAUCCAGGAUAUGGAGUUAAACUGAAGAAAUGAAACAAUUCAGAGACUUUGUUUCUGAUGCUGGUCCGUAUUUCUUCUUGGUAGAAAGUGUUAAGUAACAAUCCUGCCUGCGGCUGUGAUUGCUUUGAUUGUUAAAUGUCAUUAAGGCAAAUAUAACUGCUGUUAAAACAUUACAAAUGAUAGUUCAAUCACGCAUGACGAAGAUGUCUGUUGUCAUGCUCUUGUAAAAUGCGUUUACUAGCUCGUAACCGCAUGUUAAACUGUUUUAUUAGGUGGUACAGCAGGUACUUUACUCUAUGUCUUCACAAGGCCUC